UACAGAGGUGGCAAGCGUUGUUCGGAAUUACUGGGCGUAAAGGGCGCGUAGGCGGCCUUCUAAGUCAGACGUGAAAUCCCCCGGCUUAACCUGGGAACUGCGUCUGAUACUGGGAGGCUUGAGUAUGGGAGAGGGAUGUAGAAUUCCAGGUGUAGCGGUGAAAUGCGUAGAUAUCUGGAGGAAUACCGGUGGCGAAGGCGGCAUCCUGGACCAUUACUGACGCUGAGGCACGAAGGUCAGGGGAGCAAACGGG
rnacentral:rRNA from 1 species